rnacentral:rRNA from 1 species
UACGAAGGGGGCUAGCGUUGCUCGGAAUCACUGGGCGUAAAGCGCACGUAGGCGGACUCUUAAGUCGGUGGUGAAAUCCUGGAGCUCAACUCCAGAACUGCCUUCGAUACUGAGAAGUCUCAGAGUCCGGGAGAGGUGAGUGGAACUCCGAGUGUAGAGGUGAAAUUCGUAGAAUAUUCGGAGACACCAGUGGCGAAAGGCGGCUCACUGGCCCGGUACUGACGCUGGAGGUGCGAAAGCGUGGGGAGCAAACAGG